CUACAUUUUUUUAGCAAAGAAAAUGCUACAGGAGCAUAGCUUUUUCUCCCCUCUCUCUCAGACACACUACAAGUUCGGGAAAGGAAUGUUCGGUGCGAAGAGAAACUUUUCAUUGCUUUGAUUCAGCAUUACGCUAAGGCCAGUUUGGUGGAGAAAGCCGUUGAACUUUUUCACAGAAUUCCUCUUUCAAUUGUGUACGGACACGUUAGUCCUUCAAUGCACUCCUUAACGUCCUUGUUGAUGGUGGUCGGUUUUCUGAAGCAAAAGGCAUUUUCAAUCGGUCCUCUAACAUGGGUUUUCGUCCAAAUUCGAUUUCAUUCAAUAUAAUGAUCAAGGGGUGGCUUGAGAAAGGUGAUUGGGAAGAAGCGUGCAAGGUGUUCGACGAAAUGCUUGAGAGAAAGGUAGAGCCUAUUGUUGUGACUUAUAAUAGUUUAAUUGACUUAUAAUACCUUCGUCUUGCAUUCAAGGAGCCACCUUCGUCUUGCAUUCCGCCCAUCUUCUACUCGGGCUUGCGAAAGAUGGAUUGAGCACUAUCAAGAUGAGCCCAUUUGCAGGAAUGGGAGCUAUCAAUGGCACAAUAAAGAAUGAUGUUGGUGCCUAUCGGAGUGCCUGUGGUGGUCAUAAAAUCCGUUACUCUGCUUCUUAUGGUUGGAGUUGGGUAUUUGUACUAUGAGUUAUAUAUGUAAAUUUGCAUAGAUCUAAGUGUCUAUAUUUGUGUUAUAUAUAUAUAUUGAAUAUUAUAAAAUUGUACAGAUUUAUGUUUGAUUUUUCAUCGAUUUGAAGAUUGUAAAUUUAUUGAUAUAUAUUAGUGAUGUUAAGUGUAUUUUUUUUAUUUGUGACUUUAGUAAUUUUGAUAUUGGUUCUAUUU